AGAGUUUGAUCCUGGCUCAGGACGAACGCUGGCGGCGUGCCUAAUACAUGCAAGUCGAGCGGACGGAUGGGAGCUUGCUCCCUGAAGUCAGCGGCGGACGGGUGAGUAACACGUGGGCAACCUGCCUGUAAGACUGGGAUAACUCCGGGAAACCGGGGCUAAUACCGGAUAACGCUUUUCCUCACAUGAGGAAAAGCUGAAAGAUGGUUUCGGCUAUCACUUACAGAUGGGCCCGCGGCGCAUUAGCUAGUUGGUGAGGUAACGGCUCACCAAGGCCACGAUGCGUAGCCGACCUGAGAGGGUGAUCGGCCACACUGGGACUGAGACACGGCCCAGACUCCUACGGGAGGCAGCAGUAGGGAAUCUUCCGCAAUGGACGAAAGUCUGACGGAGCAACGCCGCGUGAGUGAUGAAGGUUUUCGGAUCGUAAAACUCUGUUGUCAGGGAAGAACAAGUACCGGAGUAACUGCCGCUACCUUGACGGUACCUGACCAGAAAGCCACGGCUAACUACGUGCCAGCAGCCGCGGUAAUACGUAGGUGGCAAGCGUUGUCCGGAAUUAUUGGGCGUAAAGCGCGCGCAGGCGGUUCCUUAAGUCUGAUGUGAAAGCCCCCGGGCUCAACCGGGGAGGGUCAUUGGAACUGG
rnacentral:rRNA from 1 species